rnacentral:rRNA from 1 species
AUUUCGGGGUCAGUAGGUCGGUCGUGCCACUGGUAUGAACUGGUUUUACUGAUUCCUCCCUCUUGAAGAACCGUAAUGCCAUUAAUUUGGUGUUGCAGGGAAUCAGGACUGUUACUUUGAAAAAAUUAGAGUGUUUAAAGCAGGCUUUAGCUCGAAUACAUUAGCAUGGAAUAAUGAAAUAGGACGUUUGAUCCUAUUUUGUUGGUUUCUAGGAUUGACGUAAUGAUUAAUAGGGAUAGUUGGGGGCAUUAGUAUUCAAUUGUCAGAGGUGAAAUUCUUGGAUUUAUUGAAGACUAACUACUGCGAAAGCAUUUGCCAAGGAUGUUUUCAUUAAUAAAGAACGAAAGUUAGGGGAUCGAAGACGAUCAGAUACCGUCGUAGUCUUAACCAUAAACUAUGCC